AACGAACGCUGGCGGCAUGCCUAACACAUGCAAGUCGAACGAGACCUUCGGGUCUAGUGGUGCACGGGUGCGUAACGCGUGGGAACCUGCCCUUAGGUUCGGAAUAACUCCCCGAAAGGGGUGCUAAUACCGGAUAAUGUCUUCGGACCAAAGAUUUAUCGCCUUUGGAUGGGCCCGCGUUGGAUUAGCUAGUUGGUAGGGUAAAAGCCUACCAAGGCGACGAUCCAUAGCUGGUCUGAGAGGAUGAUCAGCCACACUGGGACUGAGACACGGCCCAGACUCCUACGGGAGGUAGCAGUGGGGAAUAUUGGACAAUGGGCGAAAGCCUGAUCCAGCAAUGCCGCGUGAGUGAUGAAGGCCUUAGGGUUGUAAAGCUCUUUUACCCGGGAUGAUAAUGACAGUACCGGGAGAAUAAGCUCCGGCUAACUCCGUG
rnacentral:rRNA from 1 species